UGCAGGAUUACUUCUCUAUGAACCCCCAGACCGAUGCAGGCAUGGGACAACAGACCCUUCCCAGUUAUUCUCCUUAGUAUGAAGGUCAACCACAAUUAUGUCUUACAUGGAUCACACAAACCUCCUUCCUCCAACUCCAGAGCAUGUGGUAGCUCCCUGCCCUGUUGGAAGGUCCAGCUGGCUCACUCUUGCCACCUGUGAAGACCAUCUGCAAAUCCAAAUAGUGUAAUGCAGGAAACACUGACCCAUGAAGAGUGAGAAUGGGUGUAGACCUGGCGGUGAUGGCAGUACCAAAAUGGGUGCUUUCCUUGGAAUUCUUGGGUGAAAACUUAGCAGAUAAAUAUUAAUAGCUUCCUAAAUGCAGAAUUUCAACAGUUUAUAAAGAUUGCACAUGAAAGUGA